rnacentral:rRNA from 1 species
AUGCUGGAGGUAUCAGAAGUGCGAAUGCUGACAUAAGUAACGAUAAAGCGGGUGAAAAGCCCGCUCGCCGGAAGACCAAGGGUUCCUGUCCAACGUUAAUCGGGGCAGGGUGAGUCGACCCCUAAGGCGAGGCCGAAAGGCGUAGUCGAUGGGAAACAGGUUAAUAUUCCUGUACUUGGUGUUACUGCGAAGGGGGGACGGAGAAGGCUAUGUUGGCCGGGCGACGGUUGUCCCGGUUUAAGCGUGUAGGCUGGUUUUCCAGGCAAAUCCGGAAAAUCAAGGCUGAGGCGUGAUGACGAGGCACUACGGUGCUGAAGCAACAAAUGCCCUGCUUCCAGGAAAAGCCUCUAAGCAUCAGGUAACAUCAAAUCGUACCCCAAACCGACACAGGUGGUCAGGUAGAGAAUACCAAGGCGCUUGAGAGAACUCGGGUGAAGGAACUAGGCAAAAUGGUGCCGUAACUUCGGGAGAAGGCACGCUGAUAUGUAGGUGAAGUCCCUUGCGGAUGGAGCUGAAAUCAGUCGAAGAUACCAGCUGGCUGCAACUGUUUAUUAAAAACACAGCACUGUGCAAACACGAAAGUGGACGUAUACGGUGUGACGCCUGCCCGGUGCCGGAAGGUUAAUUGAUGGGGUUAGCGGUAACGCGAAGCUCUUGAUCGAAGCCCCGGUAAACGGCGGCCGUAACUAUAACGGUCCUAAGGUAGCGAAAUUCCUUGUCGGGUAAGUUCCGACCUGCACGAAUGGCGUAAUGAUGGCCAGGCUGUCUCCACCCGAGACUCAGUGAAAUUGAACUCGCUGUGAAGAUGCAGUGUACCCGCGGCAAGACGGAAAGACCCCGUGAACCUUUACUAUAGCUUGACACUGAACAUUGAGCCUUGAUGUGUAGGAUAGGUGGGAGGCUUUGAAGUGUGGACGCCAGUCUGCAUGGAGCCGACCUUGAAAUACCACCCUUUAAUGUUUGAUGUUCUAACGUUGACCCGUAAUCCGGGUUGCGGACAGUGUCUGGUGGGUAGUUUGACUGGGGCGGUCUCCUCCUAAAGAGUAACGGAGGAGCACGAAGGUUGGCUAAUCCUGGUCGGACAUCAGGAGGUUAGUGCAAUGGCAUAAGCCAGCUUGACUGCGAGCGUGACGGCGCGAGCAGGUGCGAAAGCAGGUCAUAGUGAUCCGGUGGUUCUGAAUGGAAGGGCCAUCGCUCAACGGAUAAAAGGUACUCCGGGGAUAACAGGCUGAUACCGCCCAAGAGUUCAUAUCGACGGCGGUGUUUGGCACCUCGAUGUCGGCUCAUCACAUCCUGGGGCUGAAGUAGGUCCCAAGGGUAUGGCUGUUCGCCAUUUAAAGUGGUACGCGAGCUGGGUUUAGAACGUCGUGAGACAGUUCGGUCCCUAUCUGCCGUGGGCGCUGGAGAACUGAGGGGGGCUGCUCCUAGUACGAGAGGACCGGAGUGGACGCAUCACUGGUGUUCGGGUUGUCAUGCCAAUGGCACUGCCCGGUAGCUAAAUGCGGAAGAGAUAAGUGCUGAAAGCAUCUAAGCACGAAACUUGCCCCGAGAUGAGUUCUCCCUGACUCCUUGAGAGUCCUGAAGGAACGUUGAAGACGACGACGUUGAUAGGCCGGGUGUGUAAGCGCAGCGAUGCGUUGAGCUAACCGGUACUAAUGAACCGUGAGGCUUAACCUU